rnacentral:rRNA from 1 species
GACGAACGCUGGCGGCGUGCCUAAUACAUGCAAGUCGAACGCACUCUCGUUUAGAUUGAAGGAGCUUGCUCCUGAUUGAUAAACAUUUGAGUGAGUGGCGGACGGGUGAGUAACACGUGGGUAACCUGCCCUAAAGUGGGGGAUAACAUUUGGAAACAGAUGCUAAUACCGCAUAAAACCUAAACACCGCAUGGUGUAGGGUUGAAAGAUGGUUUCGGCUAUCACUUUAGGAUGGACCCGCGGUGCAUUAGUUAGUUGGUGAGGUAAAGGCUCACCAAGACCGUGAUGCAUAGCCGACCUGAGAGGGUAAUCGGCCACACUGGGUCUGAGACACGG